GAUGAAGAACGCAGCGAAAUGCGAUACGUAAUGUGAAUUGCAGAAUUCAGUGAAUCAUCGAGUCUUUGAACGCACAUUGCGCCCCCUGGUAUUCCGGGGGGCAUGCCUGUCCGAGCGUCAUUGCUGCCCUCAAGCACGGCUUGUGUGUUGGGCCUCCGUCCUCCUCCCGGGGGACGGGCCCGAAAGGCAGCGGCGGCACCGCGUCCGGUCCGCGAGCGUAUGGGGCUUCGUCACCCGCUCUUGUAGGCCCGGCCGGCGCUUGCCGACACAUCAAUCUUUUUUCCAGGUUGACCUCGGAUCAGGUAGGGAUACCCGCUGAACUUAAGCAUAUCAAUAAGCGGAGGA
rnacentral:misc_RNA from 1 species